rnacentral:lncRNA from 1 species
CGAUUCUUCCUUUGGAGAGAUGGUAGACCGAAUUGGCGUUGGGAAUUCUCGCAGUGGCAGAAGGAGGAAGCAGAUAUGUGGACUCUUGUUUCUUAUGGCAACAAUAAGUCCCCUAUUCUUCCGUCUGGAAAUAAGCACCAAUGCAUUGGCAGAUCUGGUUCUUCUGCUCUGAUCGCCAAGAACCGCUCUUUAUCAAGUGACAAAUUGAAACCAGGUUCUGGCAAAUCUUCGGUUUUUCUCAGGUUAUCUUUUCCUCCAUCAAAUGUUCAUGAUGGUAUUCUCCCAACUCCUGGGUUUCACAAUGCAUCGUCGUCCACUACACGUGAUGGAAUCCUUCCAACCCCUGUGGAUCGCAAUACAGCAUGUUCUUCAAAGCUGUUUCAUACAAAGUUCUUCAGGGAAUUAAUCAUUUUUGGAAAUAAUCAGUCGCCCUCCUCUUCUUCUCUAGCUCUCUCGCCCUGCUCCCCAAACUUUCCCUCUUCCCCAAACCCCAUCUCCCCGCAAGUGGUUUCCCCCAUUGCCUGGGCUGAGAGUAUGGCGAACCACACUGAUGAGGAGCUCCGCCCAGACCUCUUCCUCCCCAUGAUCCCUUGGAUUGCAAGAAACCCGCGGGCCGACUUCACGGUACAGUCAAUUCCCCAGAAUUUCAAUGAUGAAUUUGCUGCAGUUCUCAUCCAGCCACAGCCUCCUGAGCACCUUGUAAUCCAAACUAUUGAUGAAGUUAUUCACCAUGUCACUCAUCACCGCAACAUCCCAGUGGUUAGAGCCCAAAGAUACCCGCUCGCUCUCUGCAUUGUUCAAUUUCAAUCUGUUUUCCAUAGAGAUGCUUUGGUAGAUGAGGGACCGAUCAUGUUGCACAACCUAGCUCAAAGAGGGUUGGGUUAUGAUCUUGGGAUACCCCCUCGCUUUAGAACUCCUGCUAUUAUUGAACAGACUGUGAGCCAGUUUGGAAAACUCCUUCGCUGGCACUCUAGAGACAAGGUUUUGGGUAGAGUUCUGGUUAAAGUCAGAUACACUGUGCCACAUGAAGUGCCGGCAAAGAUUGUCAUGGGCCACACCUCUGAGAUCAGUGGACUUGGGGAAUCUUGGACUUUUUACCCCUAUGUUCUAACUGGGAACUUCAUCGACAUGCUUCUGGGUGAUGAAGAUAUCAUUGAGCAACAGGAUGAUCAGUUGCCUUUUGAUGGUCAGAUUGUUCCUUAUGGGCUCCCCCUACCACACCUGCCUCUCACCAAAUUCCCUCCUUUAGUCUGUAUUGCUGUUGCUCAGGGAGUUUUCAAGCCACUUCUCCUUGCUACCCAACCAAUUAUCUUCAGAUCAGUCCACUCCUAUCCAUGCUGGGAUCUUAUCUCUAUCAAAUGGAUCAUCGACAUCCCCAAGUUGCCCCAGCUCUGCCCAAGUCUUACUUGCCCUAGUCUUGUGAAGAAGCAGAAAUCGAUUCACCCUGAUGGAAAAAGGGUUGCAAAAGUUCUGUUUGCUUCAUCUGAAAUAACUAGUGAUCCUGAGGUUAGGCAAGGGAGAGCAAGAAAGCACAAAAUUCAAACCCCAGUUUCUACUGAAGGCCUUAGAAGAAGCCCACGCUUCACUGGGCUUGGUGAGAAGCUGGAGAUACAUACAGACACACCCAAGAAGAAAACAAAAGUGAAGCCAAUGGUGACAAGUUUCAAGCCCAGUAAAGAUGAUAGAGUCAAGCAUCUCCCCUCGGCCAUCGCAGUGGCCCAGCUGCAAAAGAUUGGUCUUGAGAAAUGUGGUCUUCUUCUUGAGGAAGUGGCAGAUGGGAAACUUCUCCAGAACAAGGAUGAUUAA